UGGGGAAUCUUCCGCAAUGGACGAAAGUCUGACGGAGCAACGCCGCGUGAGUGAAGACGGCCUUCGGGUUGUAAAGCUCUGUGAUCCGGGACGAAAGAGCCUGAGGUAAAUAGCCUAAGGAAGUGACGGUACCGGAAAAGCAAGCCACGGCUAACUACGUGCCAGCAGCCGCGGUAAUACGUAGGUGGCAAGCGUUGUCCGGAAUUAUUGGGCGUAAAGCGCGCGCAGGCGGCUUCCUAAGUCCAUCUUAAAAGUGCGGGGCUUAACCCCGUGAUGGGAUGGAAACUGGGAAGCUGGAGUAUCGGAGAGGAAAGUUGAAUUCCUAGUGUAGCGGUGAAAUGCGUAGAGAUUAGGAAGAACACCGGUUGCGAAGGCGACUUUCUGGACGAAAACUGACGCUGAGGCGCGAAAGCGUGGGGAGCAAACAGG
rnacentral:rRNA from 1 species